rnacentral:ncRNA from 14 species
UAAACGAACAAAGCAUCAGCUCGUAUAAUAGCGGUAAUAUGGUCCGCGAGUCUCUACCAGGCUGCCGAUAACGGCCUGACUACGAGUGGUCUUUUUCAGUUG